rnacentral:rRNA from 1 species
UACGGAGGGGGCUAGCGUUGUUCGGAAUUACUGGGCGUAAAGCGCACGUAGGCGGCUUUGUAAGUUAGAGGUGAAAGCCCGGGGCUCAACUCCGGAAUUGCCUUUAAGACUGCAUCGCUAGAAUUGUGGAGAGGUAAGUGGAACUGCGAGUGUAGAGGUGAAAUUCGUAGAUAUUCGCAAGAACACCAGUGGCGAAGGCGGCUUACUGGUCCGGUUCUGACGCUGAGGCGCGAAAGCGUGGGGAGCAAACAGG